UCACCCGGAGCCCGGGCCCGCGGGGGAGAGGUGGCGCGUUAGAGAUGUGUGUGGGAGAGAGGGAGCGAGCGAGAGAGAGAGAGAGAGAGAGAGGGGGAGCGAGACCUCCGCUGGCCCCGCGAACUUGUCAAGCCACCGCUACAGUGCAAAACACCAAGCUUUUGGCCUUAAAAAGCCUAGACCAUCAUGGCUACGAAAACUGCUGCUGCUCAGACACCAUGUAAUUCUGGAGCUCCUUAAGGAAAAAAUAGUGCGAUGCAACAUCAAAACAGUGGCCAAGUGAUCUUCUACACAGCAGCCAUGAACUUCAAUCCUGAACUGAAGAAGACUCAUCAAAUGCCUAAGGAAAGACAGUAUGGAGUUGGAAGAGAAGCAUGGAUCUCCAUGAAGGGCAGUCAGUUAUAGUCAUGGUCAGCAUGCUUGGUUGGUCUGCCACUUGACACGUGUAGCUCAGAGCUGGCCACAAUGUGAGCUGCUUCCUGUUCUCCUAAACAUCAGAAGCUGAAAUUUAGAGAAAUCUGUUUAGAAGAGACUGGGAAAACAGCCAGGCUAGCUCAGUACAAGUGUGUUGGUGGCACCUGUAAGCAUGCAGGUGUGUGGAAGAACAGGUCCUGUUCUCGCUGUUGUUACUCCCACAUAGGCAGACUCUGUAAUUGAUUAUGUGUGGGUAGGGCCCUAUUGAAAUUCAGGAGAUUCUGCAGUAGUGCGGGGUUCUUUUUGUGAGAGUUCAGUUGCAAGAUCAGGACCCUACUGUGACUCCUUACUGUGCAUUCUGUCCCUGUCUCAUUGGUUGUACUGGAACCUGCCUGUUGGGAUAAUUACCAAAUACUAUAUUCCUCAAAACUUCUUAAUGGCACUGAGGCUUUGUGGAUAGUUGGUCACAUGAUGAGAAAAUUCAGCUACUGUCGGAGUUCAUGAUUCCUGAGAAGUAACACCUUGAAGUUCUGGCACUGUCUUCUACAAAGUAACUUACACUGAGCUGGCUUCCUGUUACUGUGUCAAUGAAACAUCAAAUAUUGAUACUAUGUGUGAAACAACAUUUGAUAUUAUGGCUAUUAAGCUGCUUGAAAAAAUACUAUACAGAUGGAUUUUGUGUUUACGAGACCUGGCAUUUAAAAAUCUAUAUCAUGGAUGCAGGCAGUAUCAAGAUGACUGUAUGCUGAAAUAGUUAUUAGUGGAAGACCACUCCAGUCCCAGGACUAUGUCUCUCAGACUUUCCAUAUGGACAAGGAAGUGCCAACGCUGCCACCCUUUCCGAAGCUUUUCACUUGCUACCUCUCUGACAAUCCUCCUUUCCAUGUUGAAAGUAUUGUCCUAACUUGUGAUGUGGAAGAUUGCUGGCUCUUCCUUUGAUGCUGAUACCAGUAUUUUCUUGACUGAUAGGAUUGUAAUGAAGACAUAGAAAAAGAAGACUAUGGUGCUCACAUGAAUGUUUUAUAGUUUGAGUAGUCAAAAAAUAUUGUUCUUCUGCCUUCGUAUAAAAUGUGUUGGUUUCCCAAUGUAAUUGUAACUUAGAGAUGUUUUUAGAAAUGUAAAAUUAAAUGUGAAGAGUAUAAAAUCCAUAUUAAAGACAUAAAAAUGUUAUAAAAUACAGCACUAGUCUUUAUUUUAACAACUGAGUUCUACAUGGCUCACUUGCAAAAUGUGGUGUAGACUUACAAAGUUGCAUACUGGUAAAGUCUGACUUACUAAAAGAUGAAAUUUCUUUUUCUGUUCAGUAAUUAUUAAAAGGUCAACUUAUUUUCUUUCUCCCUCUGGUAAUAUUUUCUUGUUAUACCUGAUAAACAUCUCCUUCUCUUGAGUUCUGUCUUCUCCCUUUUUUUUUGUUCCUUUUGUUAACCUAAGUUUGUGGUUCCUUUCUACCUUGGUCUCUCCUAACUCUUUUGGUCCAAUACUGAUCCCUUUUUUCUCAUAUGUUUGCAUCCAUUUGCCUAGAAUAUUGCCUUGAGCAUGAUCAUAUAUACCUAAGAAUAUAUUUACUUCUAAAUGCUGGAUGGAUCUGCUAUUUUAGGACUUCCAGUAAAGCAGAAAAGAAACUUAACAAUUCAUGACAGUGUUUUAGGGUUUUUUUAUGAUACAUAUGCCUUCAGAGGAUCAAAGUACCUUGCUUCCAACAUCAAUGGA